GCCCGGGUGGCGGAAUUGGUAGACGCAGGGGACUCAAAAUCCCCCGCCGAAAGGUGUGCCGGUUCGAGUCCGGCCCCGGGCACCA
rnacentral:tRNA from 4 species